AAGACUAUACUUUCAGGAAUCAUUUCUAUAGUUUUUUACUAGAGAAAUUUCUCUGAAUGUGUAGAGCACCGGUAACCAAGAGGAGGAGCUGUGUUCUCCUCUCAGCAUGAAAUGAGCCCUUGGUGUUCCUUCUCUGCAACUGCCAUUUGCCAUUGAUGAUCGUUCUUCUCUUCCUCUGAGAGAGUAAGAGGGUACAGGAUGCAGUCUGAGUGAU
ensembl:snoRNA U3 Small nucleolar RNA U3